rnacentral:tRNA from 1 species
GCGGAUGUGACUGGAAUUGGUAGACAUGCUAGAUUUAGGUUCUAGUGCCGAGAGGCGUGAGGGUUCGACUCCCUCCAUCCGUA